rnacentral:rRNA from 1 species
GACGUAGGAUGCAAGCGUUGUUCGGAUUUACUGGGCGUAAAGGGCGCGUAGGCGGUCAGCACAAGUCAGUUGUGAAAUCUCCGGGCUUAACUCGGAAAGGUCAACUGAUACUGUGCGACUAGAGUGCAGAAGGGGCAACUGGAAUUCUCGGUGUAGCGGUGAAAUGCGUAGAUAUCGAGAGGAACACCUGCGGCGAAGGCGGGUUGCUGGGCUGACACUGACGCUGAUGCGCGAAAGCCAGGGGAGCGAACGGG